GGUAAGGUGGCCGAGUUGGUUAUGGCGCCAGGUUAAGGUUCCCUCCUUAGCAUUGCUUAACAAUAAGCUUCCUGGUCACGAAAGUGGCGCGAGUUCGAGUCUCGUCCUUAUCA
rnacentral:tRNA from 1 species